AGCCAGCAGCCGCGGUAAUACGUAGGGUGCAAGCAUUGUCCGGAUUUAUUGGGCGUAAAGAGCUCGUAGGCGGCUUGUCACGUCGGAUGUGAAAACUCGGGGCUCAACCCCGAGCCUGCAUUCGAUACGGGCUAGCUAGAGUGUUGCAGGGGAGACUGGAAUUCCUGGUGUAGCGGUGAAAUGCGCAGAUAUCAGGAGGAACACCGGUGGCGAAGGCGGGUCUCUGGGCAACUACUGACGCUGAGGAGCGAAAGCGUGGGGAGCGAACAGGAUUAGAUACCCUGGUAGUCCACGCCGUAAACGUUGGGCGCUAGGUGUGGGGAACCUUCCACGUUCUCCGUGCCGUAGCUAACGCAUUAAGCGCCCCGCCUGGGGAGUACGGCCGCAAGGCUAAAACUCAAAGGAAUUGACGGGGGCCCGCACAAGC
rnacentral:rRNA from 1 species